CCACCUCUCGUAGGACCCAUUCGAUUUUCUUUCCCCCAUCCCGGUUUUCUCCCUCUGGCCUGCUCCUCACGCCGGCGUUCCGCGCCGCCGCUGCCGACUGCUCCUCACGCCGGCAUCCCGCGCUGCCGUUGCCGACCUCCAGCCGUCGUCCAGUAACCGCUCCCAAACAACGGCAGCAUGGAUCCUGAUGUGGAGCUCCAAUACGGCCCGAUCUGACCUGGGAGCGACCAGAUCCGUGCGUCUCCGCCUCGCUUCACGCGCCUCCAUGGUCCGCCGUCUUCCCGAGCGCCGGCGCCGCGCUCAGUCGCCGCCGUCCCAUGCCAUGGUAGCCUCCCCUCCAGAACGAUGUGUCAUGGCCGCCUCCCUGCCUCUCCCGCAGAGUUAACUCCCACCCGUACAUGAGCCCCAAGGCACCACGCGAUUCUGAUGAUACACGAACACUGGGUCGGUCCUCUAUCCGGCAGCUCCGUUGGGGAAGCACCAAGAUCCAAACUCCAAGUAUCCGUGGAUAUAGGGAACAGUUAUGGUACAAAUAGACUUGAUUGUACUGACAAUUUUCAGCUUGCACAUGGAUCCCUUAUAGUAUGCAAUCAAGCUUGAUGAUAAAUUCUUGGAGAGACGCUAGGUGCCAGCUGCUCACUGUGCGCAUGGGAUAGGAGGUCAUGCGUGGAGGCUACUCGGAGAGGACUGUAUGCAUGUCCAUGUCCGCGCACUUGGAGCAGCAGCCAAUGGAUGGUCGGCCAGAGGAGGACCAGGGUUGGAGAUUUGGGAUCGGAGACGCCAAGAACAAGGGACCAAGGUGCUGAACUAACGGCACGGGCAGAAUGAUUCUUCAGGGAGCGGCACAGAUUUGGAACAAAUUCCAGAACAGGCAUCCAAGCAUUUGGUCUGGUACCACUAAGCUGCCAGAGCAAGAUAGCUGGGAUGUCGAGUCCAUAGGGCAAUGGUAAAUCACAAAUUGGCUGAUGUUCGAUGGGAAGCAUCAGACAAUACCAAUGUCCAGUAGUAAGAUUUGAUUGUGCAGGUGAUCAGCCCACGUGUGCGUACAUCCCCUGUUAGUCCAGAUUUAGAAAAAUAUGAUUUCUGCUAUGAUAGUUUCCAGAAUAGUUUGGCCCUCGAGACACUUCCACUGUAUGCAUGUGUGUUCCUUUUUUUCAGAGAUAUGCGUCUAUUGAUUAUUAUUGGAAUUGGUUCGACAAA